CAGCCGCCGCGGUAAUACGAAGGGGGCUAGCGUUGUUCGGAAUUACUGGGCGUAAAGCGCACGUAGGCGGCUUUGUAAGUCAGAGGUGAAAGCCUGGAGCUUAACUCCAGAAUUGCCUUUGAGACUGCAUCGCUUGAACACGGGAGAGGUGAGUGGAAUUCCGAGUGUAGAGGUGAAAUUCGUAGAUAUUCGGAAGAACACCAGUGGCGAAGGCGGCUCACUGGACCGUUGUUGACGCUGAGGUGCGAAAGCGUGGGGAGCAAACAGGGUUAGAUACCCCAGUAGUCCCUGUCUCUUAUAC
rnacentral:rRNA from 1 species